AAAGGAAUCCUGGGAUGGCCUGUAACCAGGAUCGAGGCCAUCGAGCUACAGAUGGUCUUACAAAUGGAACCCCAAAUGACCUCAACUCACAACUUCUACCGAGGACUCCUGAACUGACCCACUGGCCUGUUCACUGGCCUAAACAGUUCCCCUCUGGAGGACACUACAACUGCAGGGCCCCUUCUUCACCCCUAUCCAGGAGGAAGUAGCUAGAGUUGUCAUUGCCCAAUUCCCAACAGCAGUUGGGGUAUCCUGUUUAGAGGACAAAUUGAGAGGUAAAGCCAGCUGGACUUCCUGGGUCAAGUGGGGACUUGGAGAACUUUUUUGUCUAGCUAGAGGAUUGUAAAUGCACCAAUCAGCACUCUGUAAAAAUGCACCAAUCUGCGCUCUGUGUCUAGCUAAAGGAUUGUAAAUGCACCAAUCAGCACUCUGUAAAAAUGCACCAAUCAGCACUGUGUCUAGCUAAAGGAUGGUAAAUGCACGAAUCAGCACUCUGUAAAAAUGCACCAAUCAGCACUCUGUGUCUAGGAUUGUAAAUGCACCAAUCAGCACUCUGUAAAAUGACCCAAUCAGCUCUCUGUAAAAUGGACCAAUCAGCAGGAAGUGGGCAGCGCCAAAUAAGGGAAUAAAAGCUGGCUACCCUAGCCAGCAGCAGCAACCUGCUCAGAUCCCCCUCCAUGCUGUGGAAGCUUUGUUCUUUUGCUCUUCACAAUAAAUCUUGCUGCUGCUCACUCUUUGGAUCCACACUGCCUUUAUGAGAUGUAACACUCACUGCGAAAGUCUGCGGCUUCACUCCUGAAGUCAGUGAGACCACAAACCCACUGGGAGAAACAAAUGGCUCUGGACAUGCCACCUUUAAGAGCUGUAACACUCACUGUGAAGGUCUGCGGCUUCACUCCUGAAGUCAGCGAGACCACGAACCCACUGGAAGGAAGAAACUCCAAACACAUCUGAAGGAACAAACUCCGGACAUACCAUCUUUAAGAACUGUAACACUCACCGCGAGGGUCCGUGGCUUCAUUCUUGAAGUCAGUGAGACCAAGAAUCCACCAGAAGGAACCAAUUCUGGAUACAAUAUCAUGUUAACAGUAGACUUUCCUGGAUUUCAGAAAAAUCUCAUUCUUUUUACCCUCAGCUGCCUUGGAUGGACAUGGGCAGCCCAGAGACUUAAGUGGGUGCUUGUAUGUAAUAUUCUGAUUUGAAACACAAGCGGGCCCAUAUGGUAUAUCUAGUAAUGCUUAGAAAGUCCUAAACUACUUGUUUAGUUUAUGCCCUACACUUGGAGAAAACAUGUGGCAAGACAAAUAUAUUCUGUUAUCUUUUUCUAUUUUGCCUUGAUUUUAAUCUCUUUAUCCUGAUAUCUUGUGAACUGAGCAUACUUCUGUUAUGUCCUAUAUUACAAAUAGGCAAAAACAAUAUAUAUAUACACAUAUAUAAUGUAUUAUGUAUUUAUGUAUAGUAUAUGCACAUAUGCAUACAUGUAUAACAUAUGUGUAUAUGUAUGUAUAUAUGUAUGAAUAUAUGAGAGAUAAUAUAUGUAGAGAGAUUAUCUUAUAAUAAAUGCCUAGAUUCAAUAAAAUGUCCUUAACAUGACAAUUUGAUCUGACAAAAAUACUUUGAAUCUCCUAUCUAUUAAGACUUAUUAAAUCUUCUGGUUAUAAAUGUUGUUUAAAAAUGUUCUGUGGUAAGAGAUACAAGGCUUAUGGAAAACAAUUCUUGAAAAAAGAAUGUAUGGCUGAUGAUAUGCAUAAACUAAAGCUGAUGCUACAGGCAACCUGAAUCACUGAUUGCAAAUAAAGUAUUGAUCAGAAAGAAAUCUGAAGGACUUCUCAAGAAAAAAAAUGGAUGGCAGAGAAAACUGUCGUAAUUGCAGGGGAAGUGGUGUUGAGGCUCAUUUAUGUGAUUUUCCUACUCCCUCUGUGUCAUUCUAGGCUAUAGGAGAGAAGACACAGAGCUCUCAUGAAGAACAGAGCUGAGACCCAGGGAUUUAAAAGACAAGUGAAAUCUGUUCCUCUAAUUCAAAAGGAAGUUGGAUCUUUAGUACUAAACAACUAGAGACACAAUCAGGACUCAGGAUUCUGACCUUCAACCACUCUUCUCUGGAAAAUUUCCAAGGAAUUAGAGCCUAAGUACCCCUGUGCCUGCAAUAGAAGUUGGGCAAGCCACGUACUCAGCCUUCUCAGAGCAGUCCAUGAUCUCUUUAACUGAAAUCAUGGAAAAGAGAGGACUUAAAAGGAAAUAUCAUCCCUAAAGAGAUAGACUAUCUCAGCAUCUGGACCCCAAAAAAUCCCCUUAACUUUCGUCCAUUAAUAGCAUCUCUUCUUCACUAUGAGAUAGGGUGGGUAACUGUGGGUAGGAGGGAGCAGAGGGAACACUUGGAUGUCCCUGAGCCUUGCACCAUAGCUCAAAGCUCCAAACAGGGCAUGAGAUCAAUAAUAAUUGGGAUGAAGGAAAAGAAGUCUCUGGAUCUCUGGCAAGGAAGGAAAACCCCCAGAGUGGCUGCUGUGCCAAAAAGGCUCCAAAGUGAUGUGACAGUGCAGUGGAGCCAUGCCAAGAUGGGAUUUGGAGUUCAUAACAAAGGAGGAGGUAAUUUUAAUCAAGGUACGAGGAUAAGAUGAGAAUUAGAUUAGCAUAAUUUGUGAGAAAUGUUCUAUAAUAGCUAGUAAUUUCUGAUUAGGUGCAUCGUCAAUGAAUUAGAAGUUGAUAGUAUAAGGUUUCUACAUAAAAGUAGCAAUAAAUAUAUGCUUACUUUCAUGUAAGGCAAAAUUAUCAAGGUGUAAGUAGUAUUGUUUUCAAUGUUUCUGGCACAUGGUAGUUCAACAAAAUAUGUUGAAUUAAUUAUUGAAUAAGUUAUUGUCCACAUUUUUUAACUUCAUGGCCUUAUCUUGCAUACUGCCAUUUAGUGGCAGCAUCUCUAAUUGUAAGCAAAGUACCAAUUGAAAAGAAAUUCAAUUAUGAAGUACUAGUACAUACUAUUGGGAAGGGGUUUGUGUGUUUGUUUUGUUUUGUUUUUAUUUGUGUAAGUUUUUAAACCAAGGAGUACACUAACAAUAGAUUGUAUACAUGUUUUUAUUGUUAUCUUAGAUGAUUCAGGGGAGCCAAAAAAUUCUCAGAAGUCUUAUCUUUUUUUUACCUGGAAUUUAUCUUAGCCUUUCCAGAAUUUUCAGAGUUAGACUGUGAAACAGUAGAACUCUUCUAAUGUUUCUAAUGUCUCUUGACUCAUAAGUCACAGGGGAACUGAUGAGUUAACAUUCUAAACAUUUCAAAAGAGUUUAAGGAAAUGUUCAUUCUCCAGAAGCAGGAGAUGAAUGCAAAGGUCCAGAGGGCUUUGUGAGCCACCUCCUCACCGACAAUGAUGGACUCUGUUUCUACCUAGGAAGAGAACAUAGGGGGCUGACACAGCCGUUCUAUUUUUUACUGUAAUGAAUGCUAUUUUCAUUUACUUUAGAGAGCAGUCCCCAAGAAGACUAGUGACAAGAUGAAGGUUCACUGGCU
rnacentral:lncRNA from 1 species